GUUGUUUAUUCACUUCUCUCUCUGUUGAGAUGUAAAUUAAGCAUUGUAAACUAAAACAAUGAAUGUCUAUUUACAGAUAAAGUCAAAAGGGAGAUGUGAAAUCAACAGGGAAGCAGCACAUAGGAAAAAUAAUCCAUGGAUGGUUAUUCUGACUCUGAGAACAGGAAAUAUAAGUAGAAGACACCUUUUUAUCUUGCACCUAACUGAUAAGAAGCUGCUGAGGCAUCAUGAACUGUUUGUACUGUCAAAGAAGAUAGAUAUGCAUGAAUAUUAGAAGCUUUUGACUAGUAAAGGGGGGAUUGGGUUGCUUUAACUAUGACGCGACGGAACUGUCUAUAUAAUCUCACUAGUUAUUGUAAUCGUGGCUGGUUCUCUCUGGAGACGGGCCGCUCUCUAUUGUUGUGUGCACUCUUCAAUAAAGAGCUUGUAUUGGACCUUG